GCUCUAGUUCUAGUGUAGUGCAGUUUUUAACAUCCCUAUUGCUCUCAAACUGGGAGCCCAAUAACUUUAAUUUAACCAUCAAAUAAAUAGGCUUUGAAUAUUAGAAUGUGAAACGACAAAUGUGUGUUAUAUAUGUUAAGUCCUUAAUGUACAAUAUAACAACAAUUUCAUUCAAUUAACUGGAAGCUAUUUUUUUUUUUUUUUUUGCUGCGUAGCUUCUCUCCGUGCGCGUAACAAAGACAGCGGUUGGCGUUCAGCCAAGGCAUAUGUAAACGCUUGCAAAUAAUAUUGAUCAAGUUGAAAGUGUGGGUGGAAUUUGAACUACUGCUGGAUAAAACGAAAAGGCAAAGAGCAGCAAAUGAAAAUUAGCGUGUAUAAUAAAUUUGUGUGUGUGAAAAGUGACUGGGCGUAAGGGUUUUUAUAGUAAAGGUAAAACAAAACACGGACCAAAAUAAUUGUUGUAAAACUGUUGUUGUUUCUUGAGGAGGCAAAAUUUAAUUGCCGCCCACCCCGGCGCCUAUUGAAAUGGCUAAGACUGCUGCUGGACAGUAUGUUCGUAAAAAGCAUUUAAACUGCCGCUUAAUAUGG